AUCAACUUUCGAUUGGAGGAUAGAGGCCUACCAUGGUGGUAACGGGUAACGGGGUGUUAGGGCACGACACCGGAAAGGGAGCCUGAGAAACGGCUACCACAUCCAAGGAUGGCAGCAGGCGCGCAAAUUACCCAAUCCCGACACGGGGAGGUAGUGACAAUAAAUAACAAUACGGGGUUCUUUCGGAUUUCGUAAUUGGAAUGAGUACAAUUUAAAUCUCUUAACGAGGAACAAUUGGAGGGCAAGUCUGGUGCCAGCAGCCGCGGUAAUUCCAGCUCCAAUAGCGUAUAUUAAAGUUGCUGCAGUUAAAAAGCUCGUAGUUGAAUUUCGGGACCAAUAUGUCGGUCGUGCCUCGGUACGUACUGGCAUCGUUGGUUUCUCCCUUCUGACGAACCAUGAUGUCAUUUAUUUGGGGUCGGGGGGAAUCAGGACUGUUACUUUGAAAAAAUUAGAGUGUUUAAAGCAGGCUCACGCUUGAAUACAUUAGCAUGGGAUAAUGAAAUAGGACGUUUGAUUCUAUUUUGUUGGUUUCUAGGAUCGACGUAAUGAUUAAUAGGGAUAGUUGGGGGCAUUAGUAUUCAAUUGUCAGAGGUGAAAUUCUUGGAUUUAUUGAAGACUAACUACUGCGAAAGCAUUUGCCAAGGAUGUUUUCAUUAAUCAAGAACGAAAGUUAGGGGAUCGAAGACGAUCAGAUACCGUCGUAGUCUUAACCAUAAACUAUGCCGACUAGGGAUCGGAUGAUGUUAAUUUUUUAAUGACUCAUGCGGCGCCUUACGGGAAACCAAAGUGUUUGGGUUC
rnacentral:rRNA from 1 species